rnacentral:misc_RNA from 1 species
GAUGAAGAACGCAGUGAAAUGCGAUAAGUAAUGUGAAUUGCAGAAUUCAGUGAAUCAUCGAAUCUUUGAACGCACAUUGCGCCCGCCAGAAUACUGGCGGGCAUGCCUGUUCGAGCGUCAUUUCAACCAUCAAGCCCCCGGGCUUGUGUUGGGGACCUGCGGCUGCCGCAGGCCCUGAAAAGCAGUGGCGGGCUCGCUGUCACACCGAGCGUAGUAGAUUUUAUCUCGCUCUGGGCGUGCUGCGGGUUCCGGCCGUUAAACCACCCUUUUAACCCAAGGUUGACCUCGGAUCAGGUAGGAAGACCCGCUGAACUUAAGCAUAUCAAUAAGCGGAGGA